AUUGAACGCUGGCGGCAGGCCUAACACAUGCAAGUCGAGCGGCAGCGGAAAGUAGCUUGCUACUUUGCCGGCGAGCGGCGGACGGGUGAGUAAUGUCUGGGAAACUGCCUGAUGGAGGGGGAUAACUACUGGAAACGGUAGCUAAUACCGCAUAACGUCGCAAGACCAAAGAGGGGGACCUUCGGGCCUCUGGCCAUCAGAUGUGCCCAGAUGGGAUUAGCUAGUAGGUGGGGUAACGGCUCACCUAGGCGACGAUCCCUAGCUGGUCUGAGAGGAUGACCAGCCACACUGGAACUGAGACACGGUCCAGACUCCUACGGGAGGCAGCAGUGGGGAAUAUUGCACAAUGGGCGCAAGCCUGAUGCAGCCAUGCCGCGUGUAUGAAGAAGGCCUUCGGGUUGUAAAGUACUUUCAGCGGGGAGGAAGGUGUUGAGGUUAAUAACCUCAGCAAUUGACGUUACCCGCAGAAGAAGCACCGGCUAACUCCGUGCCAGCAGCCGCCGUAAUAC
rnacentral:rRNA from 1 species